CCUACGGGAGGCUGCAGUGGGGGAUAUUGCACAAUGGGGGGAACCCUGAUGCAGCGCCGCCGCGUGGGUGAAGAAGCGCCUCGGCGCGUAAAGCCCUGUCAGCAGGGAAGAAAAUGACGGUACCUGAAAAAGAAGCCCCGGCUAACUACGUGCCAGCAGCCGCGGUAAUACGUAGGGGGCAAGCGUUAUCCGGAUUUACUGGGUGUAAAGGGGGCGCAGACGGCGAUGCAAGCCAGGAGUGAAAGCCCGGGGCCCAACCCCGGGACUGCUCUUGGAACUGCGUGGCUUGAGUGCAGGAGGGGCAGGCGGAAUUCCUGGUGUAGCGGUGAAAUGCGUAGAUAUCAGGAGGAACACCGGUGGCGAAGGCGGCCUGCUGGACUGCAACUGACGUUGAGGCCCGAAAGCGUGGGGAGCAAACAGGAUUAGAUACCCCUGUAGUC
rnacentral:rRNA from 1 species